AUAAAUAAUCAGCCUCAUGGAGCGUUACGACAUAAACUGACGCGGGCUACUUUAACUCAGGAGCUCUGCCCGUUUAGUUAUUUAUUUCACCUGCUAUGACCCUGCUGGCCUUCAGAAACAGGUCUCCUGAAUGAUUUCUUCGUUCAAGCCACAUCCAAAUCUGGGACGCUCUAGAUUUGGCGCCUGCUUUCUCUCGCGAGGCGGCACUAGAGCACUGAUCGUCGGCGAUCAGCCCGGCCAGCCCUUGCUUCCUUUCCCUUUCGUGCCAUCCUGCAAGCUGGUGGCAAAGGAGGAAUGCCUGAUCCCGGCGGGAGUCGGCUGAGUCUACAUACAACACUGAGCCUGGUCCCAGCGAUCGAGGCAAGGAAAGCCUCCCGGUUGUGGUGGGGAUUCGCCAAGGUGCAUCUGCAUAAAGAUCCCCGUACUGUAUCUAGCCAACUUCUCCCAGCCUCGCUCAUCUCUGGCUUACCUGGAAGCGGGCGCCCUCUCUCUUCUGCUCUCUUCACAUCUGCGCCCCUUCUCAAGGCGGACGCCAUGUCGGCCGUCUCUGCAGCAGUGGCGUCUUCGUGGGUUCCGAAAGCGAAAACAAAAAGGCCGGGAGUGGAGGCGUAGGUAGCUCUUGUCUGUGCUGCCGGUGGCGAGGCUCGGAGGGCAAAGAAGGGCGUGAUCGGGCCCUGGUUUGAAGGAGAGGAUUAAUUAUUUGGAAGGCUCCCACCCCCACCCCCACCCCCCAUCUUCCUGGUAGACGUUUCCAUUUAACGCGUUAAAUGUUAACAGAAGAGUCCUGUUCAGACAUUAUCAGGGCUGCAUCCAAGGAUUUUGUCUUCAUGGGACCUCAGAAAUCCUGCUGACUCAUGCACAUGUGAGGUGCAUGCUGCUGUAAGAUAGGCAUAGUGCGCACAACUAUAACUCCUUGUGCAUUUUCUUUUUGUGUAAACAUGCUUUAUUUGUUAGAGUUACAUUCAAAAGCCUGCACAAAGUGGCAGAAAAUCCUCUGAACUGAAAAUUUGACAGCACUAAGAAGAGUGCUUUCUUCAAAUACCACAUUUUGUUAUUUAGCAACAUGAAGGCUGGUUUAUGCGUGUCUCUAGUUUGAUACUCUAUUAUCUGUCUGCUGAAUACUUAAUCUUUUUCCCUGUUGCUGACCUAUGCUUAUUUUCUUUCCAUGCACAUAUUGCUAUAGUGUAUGAUUUGUAUGAGCAAUGUUUGGAAAAUCCCUUUUCACUCUCUAGAGCAGACUUCUAGUUAUUAAAACCACUGACAGAGAAACGUGGUUUCCAGUUUUUCUCUGUUAAAUAUAUUCAGCAGAUUAGCAAAAAACCCUGACACUAGAGACAAGGUAUUCCUAAAAGGUAAAGGUGUCCCCGCACUUAUAGUGUGAGUCGUUUCCGACUCUUAGGGUGACGUCUUGUGUCGUUUACAAGGCAGACCGUAUAUAUGGGGUGGGAUUGCCAGUUCCUUCCCCGGCCUUUCUUUACUCCCCGGCCUUUCUUUACCCCCCAGCAUAGGCCGGGUACUCAUUUUACCAACCACAGAUGGAUGGAAGGCUAAUGCUUACCACUCUGCACCACGGAGGGCCAUUAGGUAUUCCUAGCAGGGGUGUUCAUUGUACCAACUACUGUGAAGCAUCUACUUCCAAGAGUUCCUCCUGAAAAGCCCCUCAACCAAACAGCAGCCAGUGAGCAGAAACUUCCAGCUGUAGCAUUCCUGACCCUAACCCUAAUCCUGUGGAAUGGGGCAUUUUGAGGGUGGGACAGAAUCUGCUGGAUCCUGAGCUGGUCCUGCUGCCUUCAACAGACAUGAUAUUGCACACUGGCAGGCGUGAACGGUGGUGCUGUGGAGGUGGGAAUAGCUGCAUCAAGCACCACUGCUACCACCCAGGAUGGACUGCAGCCUAAGUUAUUUAAAAAAUCUGGAUGAACACAGAAAGGUCUUCAUCUGGUGCCAAAAAGACCACAAAGAUGGUGCCAGUUGAACCCGCCAUACUGCAGUUGGCCACAGCUCUGUGAACUUCAUUGUGACUCCGCUGCAGGAAGGCAGGUGGCCAGAUUGGACCAAGCCAGGUGUGCCAGCCAUGCUGGACUCAAGGGUCUUCAUCUGAGAAGGAGUCAUGGCUCAGGCUUACGUCAAAUGUGACACGCUCAGAGGGAGUGUAAUGGAGUGAGGCUGCCUCUACCACACCGGAUGUGAAGAACAUAAGAAGAGCUUAUAUGCUGCAUCUGAUCAAGGAUCCAUCUAGGCCAGCAUACUGCCUUCACCAGUAGCCAUUCAGGAUGCUCCUGAAAAGGUCACAAGUCAAGCACGAUGGAGAUGACCACUCACUGUUGCUUGCCUCAGUAUCUGGAAAUAAGAGAUACACUCUUUGAAUGUGAGGAUGUAUUUGGGAAAGGCCAUAGCUCAUUGGUAGAGCAUCUGUUUUGCAUGCAUAAGAUCACAGGGCCUGGCAUCUCUAUGUAGGGCUAGGAGAAACCCCAAUAUGAAACCCUGGAGAGGCACUGCCAUUCAGUAUAGACAAUACUGAGCUAGAUGGUCCAAUAAUCUGACAUGGUAAAAAGUAGCUUCAUAUGCUCCUAUGUUCCAUAAAUUGGUCUAAUCUUUCUAAAAAGCCAUUUAAACGAGAGACCAUCACCACCUCUUGUAAUAAUGAAUUUUCUUGGUAAAGUAGGUGUCCUGUAAAGUGGUACUUUUGCUACUCCCAUGCUUAUUGCAAGUCAAUUUCACUGAGUGAUAUCAGGUUCUAAUAUGAAGGGGACAUUUUUCUGUCUAUAAUCUCCACAUCAUUAUACUUAAGUUUCAUAGACCCCUGCCAUGGCUCCCUCAGUCUACUUUAUCCAAACUCAUGGGGAAAUUGUCUGAUUGGGAAAACAAUUUUGACAAUUAGAUCAUUCCUCUUGCUCCCCCUCUCCUAGAUCUUGCCAAAAUGAUCAACAUGGAGAAAGUCUUCCAUGCACAGAUUGCCCUCUAAAUUGGACCUUUUAUUUCAGGAAUGGGAAAUCUGCAGCCCUGCAGGUGUUGUUGGACUCCUGUUCCCAUCAGUCCAUGCAACAUGGCCAAUGGUCAGGGCUGAUGGGAGUUGGAGUCCACCAACAGCUGGAGGGACUCAGGUUACCCAUGCAAUGCAAAAGGAUGCUACAUGGCAUGGUGCCUUUUGCUGGAUAUGAACUCCAGGUUCACUGUCAAGCAAAUGCUCAGUGAGGUCAGCUCUUGCAGUGCUUAUCACUGUUCCAGGUGAGGGAACCUGACUCUAGUUGUUUUUCUACUCUCACCUCCAACAUCCAGGAUCACUACCUUUAUUUGAUCUAUUUUGAAGCCUAUCUAGAAGCCUAUUUUGGCAUGAAGCAAGAUACCCAUAUCCCCUAAAAAACGAUAUAGAGUAGUAUUCUCCUGUUUUGCUAAUACUUGUUUGCUGACUUAGCCUACAUUCAAGCCUAAAUUUUAUUGAUGUAAAAGUAAGUCAAAAUGUGCUGCAUUUCAAUGAAUUGAUUUGUUUUGGGAGGCUUGAUUUAAAUCGUUGAAAAGAACACAGGACCAAACAAAGGAAUUGAAAAUGAGUGAAGUUUUAAAAAGAGAAAAGAUCCUUGUCGCUGAGGAGAUGUGUAGCUUCUCCAGAGAAUUUGGUAACUGCAUAAUCCCCUUGACCAGGAAGCAAGUGCAUCAUCCACACACAGAGAAGUAGAAAAUAAGAAAAAGGAGAGCUUGUUGCAGAGACAUAAUUCCUAGAAUCCUUCCUGUGAUAAGUAUACCUUGCUGUUAGCAUUUAAAACUUACAUUUAUAGUUCAUAUCUGAGAUUAAGUCUUGCCAUGGGGUAUAAUAUGUAUAUUUUUCAUCUGUCAAUGCUGAAUUGUGUUUUUUUUAAAAUAUAACUUGAAGGAUUUAUUCUAUUGGUAAGUCUAUCUUACAGUACAGGGCUGGCUCCAAGUUCAAGGGAGCCCUUAGCAAGAUGGGCCCCAUCUUAGAUCAAAGACCAUCUUUGGUGGGGACUCUCAGCUGGAUUCCUCUCUGCUUCAUCCCUAGGAGGCUUCUUCCUCUUCCUCCCACCUCCAAGCAGGCUCAUUCUUUCUCUCCCUCCAAGUGGGCCUCUGCCUUUCCUAGCAGGCUUACCUAGAGGUGACAGCAGAGGCAUUGUGGAAAAUGCUCUGGGGCAAUGUGGAAAAUGAGAAUGGUAGUUCUUCCCCACCCCUUCCUCUGGUGAUAACAUAGCAGUGUCAGUGAUGGGUUCUGUGAGGGUGCUAAAGACUUGGUAGCUGCCCAGGGGUACUACAUGGUGACACUGGGGCUGUUACUGUAAAUAUAGCUUUGGUUAUAUAAUAUAGGUAUGCCAUGUGGCCUGUACUACUUUAUAGAGGCAAAGCAAAAGUUUUACCAGUUUAGCAGAGAAAAACAAAGGAGCUCCUAGACAUAACGUCUGACUCGAUCGCCAUCUUCGCUAAUUAUAGAUGUCUAGUUUCAAGCUCUACUUUGAUUGUUCCCCACUAGACAGCAUUUUAACUUUGUAUGUUGGACAGCACUGUGUUUUUACUAAUAUUCUAUCUUGGUCUGUUUUUGUUUUUUGUAUAAUGCUGUUGGCCUUUGGCCCUGGAUUAAACUUACUACUGUACUACUUUAUCAUUCUAGCCACAAUCAUUCCCAAGACCUGGGA